UAAUAGCAGUAACUGUUUUGGUCACC
rnacentral:piRNA from 1 species